rnacentral:misc_RNA from 1 species
GCAUCAUAAAACAUAAGAUUGCUUUUAUCCUUGUCGAAUGAUGUGAGACAUUAGAAUUUACGCUAAAACUAUUAAUACACAUUAGACCGUUGUGUCUCAUAGCAAUGCUAUCAACCAACAAAUAUAUCUGUAAUCUAAGAUUCAUCCAUGAAGACAGAACCAUGAGCGCUUGCUUUCAUGAAUUUCUUCAGCAAAAGAACAACAAUUGCAAGAGUAAGCCCGAUAGCAGCCCAUGUGAACAACCGAUCCUCAGCUGGUUUGUGAACUCUUGUCUCCAACCUCCGCUGCUCAGCCUGAGCAAUAGCGCGACUAGAUGGCACCUCCCUUGCCACUCUCACCACUUCUGGCCGGAUCUCUUGUACUGGUUCCUCAACGAUCCUGUAGUUUGCAGGUGGAUUCUGUAGCUCUUCCUCAGCAGCUGCAAGUUCAGCAGGUUCAGAAGUUACCUGGACAUCAGCCUCUUCGUUGGAGGGUUUCUCUGCAGAGACAUCUGAAGAACCCGAUUGAGGAAUAGGCGGUGCCUUACUCAGCAUAUACCCAUGAAUCUCGUCAAUUAACUUUUGACGUUCAGGAGUACCAAAUUUUGGAGGUGCUUCUCGAGAUUUGAUGGCCAAUACUCGCCUUUCUUCCUUCUUGUAGUCCAGGGAACCAAGAGCUCCAUUUGGGUUUGUGGGCAUGAAAGCAAUUAAUGCAACCAAUGCAGUGCGCACACUCCAUGACGGUUGCCAAUGCUCUGGAUGGUGAUUUGAUAUGCUCAAACAAAUCUUUGUUUGGGUCUCAAAGCGUCCGUUCGGGGUUAACAACAUGAAUGAAGGUGGCUUGAAUGGAUAAUCUGCUGGCAAUUGGAUACGUCCAUGAUAUAUCCCACCCUCAAAUUCACUAUCACCAGGUCCGCGGAUGGCAAAUUGCCACUCAAAUAUAUUCUCCUCAAGAGGAAGACUCAUGAAAUCAUCAGA